UUUAAUACAGUCAUUGAAACAAAAUUUUCGAACACGUUUAUAGAAACUGAAAUAUUAUAUCAUACUUAAUGUACAUGAGUUACAUGAAUCGCAUAAAAUAGGUUUGUAAAAUUAGAAAAAAUUAAAAUAGUUUAUAAUGUUUUAGUUUACAAAUUGUGAAUGCAAUAAUUAUUUGAUGAAUGAGUUUUGUACAACAUGACAUGAAUUACUUUUUGCAGGAAAACUUAUAUUUGUGGAAAUGGCAAGGUUGAGGAAGUCCAGUCAAAUAAUUAAUAUCUAGAUGUUUAAUGCACUGAGAAGAUCAGCAUUGUUUUCAGAUGAUUCUGGAAUAUCAGUCCCACCUAUAAAGCGGCGAAGUCCUCUAUUGCGGAGUAUCACUUACUGAAUAUAGAAGAUACAGACUGAUGUAAAGAGACACACAAGGAACUAUUUCCAAAUAUUGCUGAUUGAAGAUCCGAUCGAGUUUGCAGAUUCUAAAGUAGAAAUGCCUAUAGUCGAUGAACCUUCACUUAUUCAGUCGUUCAACCGAGGAUUGAGUAAUUUCGUUCCUCUUUGUGUGGUACAUACAUCUGCAUGCACAUCUGGAUUCUUUUUUAAUGAUUCUAUAUAAACACCGAUUAAUAAUUACGGGUAUAUAACAUAAUUAUCGUUACAAUUUUCCUAAAACCAAUAUAAAUGUAAAAUACUACAUGUUGCCCAUAACAAUUAUAUUAUUUAG